rnacentral:tRNA from 1 species
UAGCUCAGUGGUAGAGCGCUUGUCUUGCAUGCAUGAGGCCCUCGGUUCGAUUCUGCG